rnacentral:rRNA from 1 species
CCAGAGAACUUAGGCAGAGAUGCUUUGGUGCCUUCGGGAACUCUGAGACAGGUGCUGCAUGGCUGUCGUCAGCUCGUGUUGUGAAAUGUUGGGUUAAGUCCCGCAACGAGCGCAACCCUUAUCCUUUGUUGCCAGCGGUUCGGCCGGGAACUCAAAGGAGACUGCCGGUGAUAAACCGGAGGAAGGUGGGGAUGACGUCAAGUCAUCAUGGCCCUUACGGCCAGGGCUACACACGUGCUACAAUGGCGCAUACAAAGAGAAGCGACCUCGCGAGAGCAAGCGGACCUCAUAAAGUGCGUCGUAGUCCGGAUUGGAGUCUGCAACUCGACUCCAUGAAGUCGGAAUCGCUAGUAAUCGUAGAUCAGAAUGCUACGAUGAAUACGUUCCCGGGCCUUGUACACACCGCCCGUCACACCAUGGGAGUGGGUUGCAAAAGAAGUAGGUAGCUUAACCUUCGGGAGGGCGCUUACCACUUUGUGAUUCAUGACUGGGGUGAAGUCGUAACAAGGUAAGCGUAGCGAG